rnacentral:rRNA from 1 species
AGAGUUUGAUCCUGGCUCAGAACGAACGCUGGCGGCGUGCCUAACACAUGCAAGUCGAGCGCGAACGGAGCAAUCCAAGUAGAGCGGCGCACGGGUGCGUAACACGUGGGUAAUCUGCCUCAGGGUCGGGGAUAACUUUCCGAAAGGUUAGCUAAUACCCGGUAAGCUUACGGUGUCUUCGGACGCUGUGGGAAAAGUAGGCCACUGUUUACAAGCUUACGCCCAGAGAUGAGCCCGCGGCCCAUCAGCUCGUUGGCGGGGUAACGGCCCACCAAGGCAACGACGGGUAGCUGGUCUGAGAGGACGAUCAGCCACACUGGAACUGAGACACGGUCCAGACUCCUACGGGAGGCAGCAGUGGGGAAUUUUCCACAAUGGGCGAAAGCCUGAUGGAGCAACGCCGCGUGUGUGAUGAAGGUCUUCGGAUCGUAAAGCACUUUCGACCGGGACGAAAAACCUCUGGCUAACAUCCAGGGGCCUGACGGUACCGGGAGAAGAAGCACCGGCUAACUCUGUGCCAGCAGCCGCGGUAAUACAGAGGGUGCAAGCGUUGUUCGGAAUUAUUGGGCGUAAAGCGCGUGUAGGCGGCUUGGCAAGUCAGAUGUGAAAGCCCUCGGCUCAACCGAGGAAGUGCGUCUGAAACUGCCGAGCUUGAGUGUCGGAGAGGAUGGCGGAAUUCCGCAAGUAGAGGUGAAAUUCGUAGGUAUGCGGAGGAACACCGGUGGCGAAGGCGGCCAUCUGGACGACGACUGACGCUGAGACGCGAAAGCGUGGGGAGCAAACAGGAUUAGAUACCCUGGUAGUCCACGCUGUAAACGAUGAGAACUAGGUGUCGUGGGUGUUGACCCCCGCGGUGCCGCAGCUAACGCAUUAAGUU